rnacentral:rRNA from 1 species
UUGAACGCUGGCGGCAUGCCUUACACAUGCAAGUCGAACGGUAACAGGUCUUCGGAUGCUGACGAGUGGCGAACGGGUGAGUAAUACAUCGGAACGUGCCCGAUCGUGGGGGAUAACACAGCGAAAGCUGUGCUAAUACCGCAUACGACCUGAGGGUGAAAGCGGGGGAUCGCAAGACCUCGCGCGAUAGGAGCGGCCGAUAUCGGAUUAGCUUGUUGGUGAGGUAAAGGCUCACCAAGGCGACGAUCCGUAGCUGGUCUGAGAGGACGACCAGCCACACUGGAACUGAGACACGGUCCAGACUCCUACGGGAGGCAGCAGUGGGGAAUUUUGGACAAUGGGGGCAACCCUGAUCCAGCCAUUCCGCGUGAGUGAAGAAGGCCUUCGGGUUGUAAAGCUCUUUCAGCAGGAACGAAACGGUGGCUACUAAUACUAGCUACUAAUGACGGUACCUGAAGAAGAAGCACCGGCUAACUACGU